rnacentral:rRNA from 1 species
UAGGGAAUCUUCCACAAUGGACGCAAGUCUGAUGGAGCAACGCCGCGUGAGUGAAGAAGGUUUUCGGAUCGUAAAGCUCUGUUGUUGGUGAAGAAGGAUAGAGGUAGUAACUGGCCUUUAUUUGACGGUAAUCAACCAGAAAGUCACGGCUAACUACGUGCCAGCAGCCGCGGUAAUACGUAGGUGGCAAGCGUUGUCCGGAUUUAUUGGGCGUAAAGCGAGCGCAGGCGGAAGAAUAAGUCUGAUGUGAAAGCCCUCGGCUUAACCGAGGAACUGCAUCGGAAACUGUUUUUCUUGAGUGCAGAAGAGGAGAGUGGAAUUCCAUGUGUGGCGGUGGAAUGCGUAGAUAUAUGGAAGAACACCAGUGGCGAAGGCGACUCUCUGGUCUGCAACUGACGCUGAGGCUCGAAAGCAUGGGUAGCGAACAGG